CCUGGCCACCAGAGGGAGUGGCUUCCUAACACAAGCUCAUUUCCUGUGUGAGUUGUAGGUUUAGAUUUAACAUUUCACUGUGACUUCAACAUUUCUUCCUGUUAAGAAUCAAGAACAUUGUUUAGGCGACACUCUAAAGAUGAACUCUUCUCCAGGCUUACUGACUGUGAUACUCUUACUGCUUGGAAGAACCCAUGGGGACUCAGUAACACAGAGGGAAGGUCAAGUGACCCUCUCAGAAGAGGCUUUCCUGACUAUAAACUGCACUUAUACAGCCACAGGGUACCCUGCCCUUUUCUGGUAUGUCCAAUAUCCAGGUGAAGGUCCACAGCUCCUCCUGAAAGCCGCGAAGACCAAUGAUAAGGGAAUCAACAAAGGUUUUGAAGCCACAUACAAGAGAGAAACCACCUCCUUCCACUUGCAGAAAGCCUCGGUCCACGUGUCAGAUUCAGCUGUGUACUACUGUGCUCUGAGUGACACAGUGACAGGAGCUGCAGGGGGAGCUGAGCACAAACUCCAAGCAGCAUAUGGGGUCUGGCUGCUGAGUGUCUGCCUCUGUGAUCCAAUCUGGUUUCAGUACAGCCUCUGGCUGUUUGCCCCUCAAUUUUUCUGGUUGAGGCAAGAAUCAUACAAUUGGCCACACCAGAAGACCAAGAAGUGA